CAAACCUGGGGGGGCCAUGAGACAUUGCACUCGGCUCACACACAGAGGAGCCCCACCAAACAAAGCAGGGGACAGGAUGAGGAGGGAUCUCCACAAGUAUUUCUGCUGCCCAGUUUCCCAUGGAUUUAGGGUCUCCCAUUUCUGUGUGCCCCAUCCCUGUAUGCUCUCACCUCCAUUCUCUCAGUCUCACUGAGCCUGUAGUUUGGGAAAAACAGGCUCCCACCCAAACCAGUUUGCCACAGCCCUCUCCUUGUGUGCAAGAUAAGCAGGUAUGGCUUUCAAACCAGUACGGUUUGGCUGUAGAGCUGGGGAGAGAUGUAGGUCUCAGUCAGUCCUGCAACAUUUCUGACCUCGUUUGGCUGCAAGUCUCAGGCCUCAAGCAACAACCUUAUAUCUUUGAAGCUUACCCUUUGUCCUAUUCCAGUUACAAAGCUAUUUUAUCAACGUGGAAUGGGAUAAUUCAAUCUCCACAACCCUCAGUGCUGAGCUCUUCUAUUGAGAUUCCCAGUAGCAUUGUGUUUUCAGCAAUGACACUAUUACUAUCAUUUUGUGGAGGUUUCUGAGUUCAUGCCUUGAUGAUCUCUAACACCACAAAGCAGGGAUGGGUAUUUCAUCCCAGCAGGGUGUUGGAAAUAGUAUAAGAAAAACUUAGGUUAAUAUAAUCCAAACACUAUCUCAGAUUGUGCCAAUCAAAAAGCUGGAUUCCAGCACUUCACAUCUUCAUGUUGGCUGCAAGGUUUUUAAAUGUGUUUGCUUUCUGCAGAAUAAACACCGUUUUCAAGCAGUGUAGUUUCCAUUUGGAAAGCAAAACUUCUUGCUCUAAAAAUGCCAAAGCAAAUUUGAUUUUAAAUUCUUCUUUAAUUGAUGCAAUUUCAUCUGGAUCAUUCCUUUUCUGCAGCUUCAGAGUCAACAAAUGGGCAUGGUGAGAUGUUCCCUGGGAAAGUUUAUGACCACUGUUACUUCACCUCUGUGAGUUUCCACCUCUAAGCGGCUCGGUCCUGGGCUGAGAAGGUCGAUCCCUGCUGGUGCUGUCUGCUGAAUCAAGGGGAGAGCCCUUAAGAGCCUGACACAAGCACCCCGGGCUGUGCCAGCCUCAUCUUGCACAGGAGACCCGCUUACCACCAUAAGCUGGCCUGUCUUUCUUGCCUCAACCAGCACAAAAGCAUCUUCAGUGACUCACUGCUCCCUAACCCACCUGUGGUUUCCUCCUUGUUUCACAGCACACACAGCAGCCUCCUCUCUUGUACCUGCACCAAUGUUCAGAUCUCACACACGUAUCAUGCUUCCCUCAACUGGUGUAGCCUUGUGGGUAUAGGUAGGUGUUCCUACUCCUGAUGGCUGUUACAUGAAAUAGAUCAUUAAUUGUGGUAGUCAAACAGUUGCUCUAGGACAGCCACAGUCUCUGGGGUGUCACCAGCUUUCUGCAGAGACCCCACAGGACAAGUUAAUGGUACAGGUGAAUGACUUGGUAACAAAGCCUAUCCUGCUUCUUUUUCCAGACUCUAUUACCAGUUUUACAUCUGUUUUCACAGCGACUACAUUCAAAAUCCUAUUAUCCGUGACAGUGAUGCAGGAUCUCUGCUGGCAGAACAUGAACAUUACCAGCUCUGAAUUUGUAACUUCACUUCCUAUGAAAGUGGCCAAAGCACAUUCUGCAAGCACCAAAAUCUCACUUGCGGUUCUUACUGCAAUGGGCCUGCUCCUGCUGUGUGCUGAGCACAUGUAACUUCCAUGGGAGCCCAUGGCAGUGGCGUUUGCUCAGUGGUGCAGGCUGAGCUGUUACUCUGCCUGGAGACCUUGCUGCCUAUCCCUGACAUAAGGAAUGUAUAAAGAGGAAGACAGCUUGAAGUUGCUGGCUGGCUGUAGCUCUGCACCAGCUGCACAGCCUCUGUGUACCUGGUCUGGAGCUGAAGACAAACAGCAUUUUCUAAAGAUUUGAAGCUGUAUUUUCAGUUAAAUGGAAAAUACUGUCCUUAUUCAUCCUAACACUCCUGAUACAUGAGACUGAAGUUUGAACUGGGAGCCUGUGAAGGAUGGUUCACCCUGCAGUCAGUAGAGACAGUAAGCAAUUGAGACCUUAUGGCAGGUGAAUCACCCACUGAAGGAGCCUUUCUCUUUCUUUGUGGAGGGUAGAGAGGGUCUAGAGAGCGACUACAGCUCCUAAGGUGCAAAUGGAGAAGAGGGCUGAGACUCUCUUAGCUCUCUGACGGGAGCGUGGCAAGUCCUGCUGCCCAGCCCCAGGCUGCAUCACCUUCACACUGCCUUGGCCUUGUGUCCAGCUUUAGCUGUGUGGAUUCAGAAACUUCACUUUGUUUGGCCAGUCAUUUUCUGCCAGUUUAGGGGUCUAAGAUGGCCCAGUAAGGGGUCAGACAAGUGCCAGAGACAGCACGAAGCCAGGGUAGGUAAGGGAGGUGUAGAAAUGCCUUUCUCAGCAGAUGCAGAAAGCUGCUAGAUUGGCCCCAUCAUAAAUAGGCUCUUCAGCAUAAAGUGCCUAGUGUGAGUUGGAAUGAACCCACUUCCCAAACCACUUAGAUGUUUUCUGAUAACUGUCCCGUGCCUGGCGCUUGGCAUCAGCCCAUGUUACACCCUCGUGUCUGGGACUCUGUAAUAAAGAUAAGGCAGGUUGUAUCGCACAAUGGAAACUCAGUCUGAAGCUCAGCUGAACAACUGUACUAGGGAGAUUUCUAGAUCCAUUUAGUGUCUGUUGUCUCCAGCAGGGUCAUCAAAAAUCAGCUCUGCCAAUUUUCUCAGCUUGAAGCUUACACUUCAGGCUGAGAAAUUCCCCAUGGAGGCUCUUAGGGGAGAGCCUCUGAUGGGUUACAUCUAUACAGGAGCCUUGAAGCCAUUUCAUUCUUUCAGACAGCCCUGAAAACUGCAUCUCUGAUGUGCUGUUCCAGGAAUGAAUCACAGUUUCUGAGAGCAGUACUCAGGGGUGUCUGAAGGAUCCGCAUUAGACAGACACCACAAAAGCUGUUGGAAAAAAUGGCAUGAAUGAAAGAAAAAGAGCAGUGCCUGGUGUCUUCCGUUUCCCUAAAGCUCAGGCACAGCACAAACCAAGUGAGGCAUGGGGUUCAAGGUAAAGCCAACAUCAGCAGUGAGAUCCAGGUCUGACUUAUCCACUCCUGGAGGGGGCUGGAAAACAAAUCUGCGGAGCAAGCCAGCAAAGAAGAGGAACAGCUCCAUUUUGGCCAGUCCUUCUCCAACACAAGCCCUUCGUCCUGAAAACAGCCAGGAGAGAAGUAUAUGGUGAGUGCUGUAACUGUUACUGUUGAUGUCCGAGACCUUUUAAACUGGAUGUACAAUCUGUAAGAGCAGGCUGCUCAGAAGAAGACCCCAGCGCACAGUUGUAGAAGUAGUCUCAGUCCCAGCAGCAAAGAGGUCCAGGGUUGAAAACAUCAAGUUUCCAUUGCUGAACAUAGUUUGGCCUUUCUUUGACUCCUUCAAAACAUACAGGAAGGUUUAGGAUGAUCUCCUCCUUAUGUGUGCUGAGUGGUAACUUAUUUCACUUACGUGGGGCAUCUUGACAACUAGAUCCCUGUAACCAGCAGUUUCAGUGGAGCUAUGGAGCGAGCACAGCGCGGCUCAAUGGUACCCUUUCUUCUAUGACAACCUGGAAGAUUUCAGUGUCUGCACUCCCCCCCUCAUUGUGGCUCUUCAGGUGGCUGAGAGAAUUUACUGGGGACUGGGUUUCCCCCAUCAUAGUGUCUGGUAAGCCCACAUGUAGGGUAUGUGACAGGUCAUUCAUGGCACCUCAACUGUUUCUACAGCAACCGGAAGAAAUCUGAAUUCACAUUGACGUGUCCCCACCACCCUAACGGAACACAGCAGACACUUUCUGAAACAAAUAUUGCACCUGGAUUUAUAAUAUUUAAGUCUUUUUUUUUUCCCUCUUUUAGUGAUAAAAGUAUCCAUGGAGCUGCAUAAGAAAAAGCUAUUUGUUACCUAGACAUAUAAAAGCCGUGCAUCAAGUCUUAACUAAUGCUGGGCAGUGUGUGUGUGCAGGGGAAGGGCUGGGGAGGCAGAGCUGAGCUUUGCCUUGAAGGGGUAUAAUUAGCUUUGGAAAUAAAUGUGCAUAUGAUACCAUUUCCCUGGAAGUGUUCAAGGCCAGAUUAGAUGGGGCCUUGAGCAAUCUGGUUGACUGAAAGGUGGCCCUGCCCAUGGCAGUGUGUCAGAGCUAGAUGAUCUUUAAGGUUCCUUCCAACCCAAACCAUUCUGUGAUUCUAUGAUUUCUUCUGCUGUGGGCAUGGUACCCUUCCUUCCUUUCUCCUUUUCUUCCUUCCUACCUACCUUCAGUGGGAAAGGUUUAUCUGCAGCGAGACAUCUCUUCAAGCCAAAUAGCCCAUAUCUGUCAGCAGGCUGGUCCAACCUGAGUCUUCUACCUGCAGACUCUGAGGGGCUCAAAAUAUCAACAAUAUGGAUCUGAUUGCAAGGGCUGGGGUCUACACUCACAUGUAUAUAAAGGAAGGAAUACGUGUAUUAUAGUUAUAUAAAUAGAUACAUGUGUGUGCAUAUAUACCUCUAAAGAUAGUCAUUCUGCCAGCCUGGCUAUACAUCAAAUAUAUAAUUUCUGCCCUCCGCACAAUGCAAACACAAUCACAUCUCCAUUUCCACAGUUGUGUUUCUCAUUCCAGGAAUUGCAUGUUUUCCUUCUGCCUGCUCACUCAGACCCUACCUCUGUCAGCGACUGGAACGGCUUUUUCAGGUCCACCACAUUCAAGUUUCCAAUCAGAGGAAGAGGACGUGGCCCAGGAGGCAAACUGCAAACAGACUUCUUCAAGCUGGUAACGAAGUAAAGGAGAGCAACCAGACCUGCUGCCAGAAAGAGCAACAAGCUAGAGCCCAUGUACUGCAGCAAACUCUGUAUGGCCAUUUCUAAAUCAAAGUGUGGGCAUGAGCAUCUUGGGGUCCCUUUAUAGCAUCAUCUGAACACACCUUCUGGGGAAGUGGCUUUACAUGGAGAAAAGGAGCCUAAGUCUUGUUUACUUCCACUUAGGCCAGAUGUAUUUUAUUUUUCUGCCAAAGAAAGCACCCUAUUUUAUUCUGAAACAUGGAUUAUCUUAAUCUGGAGCUCUUAUUUCAUUUACAACACUGGGACAAGGUGUUUGUUUUCCAGUGAAAAUCUGUGUUGUGGACAUGUUGUGGUAUAUGUGAUUUCAGGCACAGAAUUAAGGGACCGCUCUGGGUUGCUGUCAGGGUGCCAGGUCACAGGACUCAGCUGGACCACUGGUGAUGUAAGCUUCCUUGGUGAUUCCUUCCCAAGAAUGCCUUGUCCUUUCCAAAAUACUGGGCGCCAAGCCUCAUGCAGGCUAUUGCCAUUGGACAUGCUCAGGAUUUCUUUGGAGGUGUCUCGGGCUUUUUUGUCCUCUUCCUUUGCAUCCUCUUUCUGCUGCUGCAUUGUCUGUAUCUGAUGGACUGAUGUAUCUGGUGGGCAAUUGGUUUACUAUUUUCAAAAAGCUUAUUUACGACUGUACUUGCUGUAUGCUGUACCUUGCGAUACUGAAAUCUAUAUUGACUCUUGUUUAUAUAUGGAUACUGUUAUAACAUCUUUGUUUAGUAUUGACUUCCUUCCUUGGGAAGGAAGCAGGACACGGGAGGGAAAGCCCCCAAUAAUGCAUGGCCCAAGGGACAGCUGGCAAGGAAGACCUCAGGGAAGACAAGGCUUGCCGAGGAGGAGUUGGAGUGAUGGUAACAUGAAUAUGUGCUAGUUCAGAUUGCAGAUGGGAGUAGGUCUACUUGCAGGUGACAGCUCUGUUUUCUUGCUACCCCAGUAAAAUCACCUCUUUGAGCAACACAGUGUUUUCACUGCUGAUGCUGUAUUGAUCUUCGUCCCCAAAAUCCUCUACCAACAAUCCCAAAAUGACCCUGAAAACACUUCUGCCUCUAUUUCACAGUUUACUGUCCAGAGGACUGUGUGCCUGGAUGUCCAUCAUUGUCUCCAAGUCUGGUGAUGACUCUUUCCUGUUUGUCCUGCCUGUUUACAAGCAGAGGCAUGCAAUCCUGGAGGAGAAGCUCUGUCCUGUCCAGCCAAUAUUUCUGCCUAGGUUGGGAAAGAGAUCCUGGAUCUUUGUAACCUGGGAGGAGCCAGGGUCAGGCUCUGCAGGUGCCCAGGCAGAGGAUGGAGGACAGUGACUGCCUGGGCAGCAAUUGCAGAGCUAUUGCCAGGAGGAGCACACAGCAACAACCCUGGCACUGCAGGUGAACUGAGUCAUGCACCAUGCCAGAGCAUGGUCCUGCAAGAGCCUGCAUGCCUGGGCAACAGCUCCCCAAGGGCCUUUUGCAUCCUUGGGGUAUGACAACAUAGCAGAAAUGAGCAUGAACAGAAGGCCACAGUUUUAAAUGGUGGCUCUGGGGGGAAGAAGCCAAUGUGAUGCUCUAUCACAUAUUCUCAAGUGGGGAUAUUUUGCCCCCCAGUUGCAGAUUCUGUCAGAUUAUUGGGCCGUGCUGCUGUUCUACCCUCAGAAAUCUUUAGUUUUAAUAAAUACUUUUCCUAGAAUCCUGCAAGGCUCCCGGGCGCAGGCUCCACUGAUGGAAAAAUGAUGAUUAUUUAUUAAUACAAGUACAUUAGCCGAAGGCAAGGGGAAUUAAUAAACUAUAACUAGAUUGACAUGAAAAAGGUGCCUGCACAUCUGCCUCGUCUCCAAGGCUUGUUAUCAGGAGUGGAGCUUUUCCCAGGGGAAUUGUCCUGUGCAGAAAAGAACUAGGCAGGGUGGACAGAGAAAGGAGGGCAAUGGAUGGUCAUGUCCAUAUCAUAAUCGCUGCACAACUAUGGAGUCCUGGUCUGCACCCUCUUGUCCCAGACAUUUCUAAGAAUACCCUGUUGUGCCAGACUCUUGUCUGAGCAAAUGGUGUGUCCACUGAGACUCUUGAGACUUUAUAAGAUACAGUAAGAGUGAUGAAACACCCUUCAUGGGCCCAUCUGAAUACUAAUGGAGAAAAUGUUGCUCUCCACUCCCAAAGACAAAAGUCUUUGUCUUUCUACCAGCCCAAACCAGAACUGAUAUCAUCUUCAGGUAAGCAACUUUGUGGGCAUAGCUCAGGGAAAUAAUUCAGUUCCUCCUAGAAAAUGAGCCUGUAUAUUAAACAGCCACAGAGUCGUCUAACUUCUGUGUGCUCAUCUGGAGAAGGAUAUAUAAUCUUCUACUGGGACACAGGUUAAUAAUGCUACAGUAACAGUAGGAUAAUGCUGAGAAAGAGCUGUUAUAAGGCCAUAAUUCAGUCAAUGAGUUCUGAUAACAUAAUAAACCAGGAGAGUGAACACCAAGUGCUUGUGUGCCUUGCAAGGCUCUGCUACUGAUUUACAACCUCAGGAGAUGCCUAUCAGCCCAUGCAUUGUUAUCAGGGAUAUAUAAAGCAUGAGCACACCCUAUUAAACAUUAACAUUCUUAAAGGCUCAGAUGCGUUAAAACUCAAGCUGCUCCUUGCUAAUGGAUUUUGCUCACCUUGAAAAAUGCCAAUGCAAAAAGGAAUCAAAAGCUUUCUGACUUUGACCUCUUUCACUUUUUCAUAAUUAUGGCAUUGUUUUAUUGGAUUACACCUGCUUCUUCCCAUCCUGGAGAUUGGUAUUUCUACAGGAUCACUACACUGAUCACUAUCUCAAGUGUUUGCUAGGCUCAUUUCGAUACAAAUAACUUGCACUGGAUUGCCUUUCAUUUAUCUGUCAAAUCAGUGUGUGGUUCACAUCUACUGUGAGAAGAAAGACCCUGAAAAUACACUUUAAAAAAAAAACCAAACCAUUAUUUCACUGCAAAAUUCCAAUGAAAGAUUCUUUGGGUGUUUUUUUUUUCCAUAUUCUAAGCUGAAAAAUUGUAUGUGAUGGGCCUGGUCACUGAGAGAAGAAAAUAUCAUGUAUGUGCAUAGGACUAGUGCAUUGUCUCUGCAGAGCCUAGAGUGACAGUAUUUCCCUCUUCUGUUAAGCAUUUGCCCCUUUUAGCCACAAACCAUUCUCAAGAACUUUGUUGCUUUUAAAAGCCUUGUUCUUGACUGAAUAGAUGUCAUUCCUUCAUGAGUCUCACUUGGUGAUACAUGGAGAUCCUGGGAUUCAGUGCUUUUAAUGUACCUUAUAAUAUGUGUACCUAUAAGAAUACUCUUCCAGGCCCCACACUUCAGCCAACAAGCCAAGACAGCCUGACCUGGGAAGUGAGUACUGAGGAGGUAAGGUUAUAAAGAAUUUAUUUUCAAACUGUGGCUGAACAAAUCAAAUGCCUUGACAUAGCUCCACAGAUUUUCUUGGGUCUCUAGCUGCAGUCUGUCUCAACACAGUAUUGCAGAAAUCAUAUUAAUUCAAGGGCAAUUUGGGACAUACCAUGAAGGAUGGUUAGUUGGUAUGUAUCAGUAGAGCCAGGGUCCCCACAUCUUACUUUUGGACUCCCUGUCUUGAUGCAGAUAGAGAUGUGGAUUUAGAUACACCAGAAUUGCAACCCACAAUGUAAGAAAGAAGUUUGCUUUGGCUUUCAGCGCAGUGUUACUAUUUCUACCACAUUCCCCUCUAACCUGAUGAGGUUUUGGCCCAGUC